AUUGAACGCUGGCGGCAUGCCUUACACAUGCAAGUCGAACGGUAACAGGUCUUCGGAUGCUGACGAGUGGCGAACGGGUGAGUAAUACAUCGGAACGUGCCCGAUCGUGGGGGAUAACGGAGCGAAAGCUUUGCUAAUACCGCAUACGAUCUACGGAUGAAAGCAGGGGACCGCAAGGCCUUGUGCGGACGGAGCGGCCGAUGGCAGAUUAGGUAGUUGGUGGGAUAAAAGCUUACCAAGCCGACGAUCUGUAGCUGGUCUGAGAGGACGACCAGCCACACUGGGACUGAGACACGGCCCAGACUCCUACGGGAGGCAGCAGUGGGGAAUUUUGGACAAUGGGCGAAAGCCUGAUCCAGCCAUGCCGCGUGCAGGAUGAAGGCCUUCGGGUUGUAAACUGCUUUUGUACGGAACGAAAAGCCUCUUUCUAAUAAAGAGAGGUCAUGACGGUACCGUAAGAAUAAGCACCGGCUAACUACGUGCCUGCAGCCGCCGUAAGAC
rnacentral:rRNA from 1 species